rnacentral:rRNA from 1 species
UGGGGAAUAUUGGACAAUGGGGGCAACACUGAUCCAGCAAUACCGCGUGUGUGAAGAAGGCCUUAGGGUUGUAAAGCACUUUAGGCGGGGAAGAAGAUAACUAGUUUAAGAGAUGAGUUAUUUGACGGUACCCGCAGAAUAAGCACCGGCUAACUCUGUGCCAGCAGCCGCGGUAAUACAGAGGGUGCAAGCGUUAAUCGGAUUUACUGGGCGUAAAGGGCGCGUAGGUGGUUACGUAAGUGAGAUGUGAAAGCCCCGGGCUCAACCUGGGAACGGCAUCUUAUACUGCGUAGCUGGAGUACAGUAGAGGGUAGUGGAAUUUCCGGUGUAGCGGUGAAAUGCGUAGAUAUCGGAAGGAACACCAGUGGCGAAGGCGGCUACCUGGACUGAAACUGACACUGAGGCGCGAAAGCGUGGGGAGCAAACAGG